UACGUAGGGUGCAGGCGUUAAUCGGAAUUACUGGGCGUAAAGCGUGCGCAGGCGGUUUGCUAAGACAGGUGUGAAAUCCCCGGGCUUAACCUGGGAACUGCGCUUGUAACUGGCAAGCUAGAGUGUGGCAGAGGGGGGUGGAAUUCCACGUGUAGCAGUGAAAUGCGUAGAGAUGUGGAGGAACACCGAUGGCGAAGGCAGCCCCCUGGGCUGAGAUUGACGCUCAGGCACGAAAGCGUGGGGAGCAAACAGG
rnacentral:rRNA from 1 species